rfam:Hordeum vulgare subsp. vulgare, WGS project CAJW01000000 data, contig: morex_contig_40011
UUGGUACUCCCUCCGUCCCAAAAUUCUUGUCUUAGAUUUAUUAGAUAUGAAUUUAUCUAGUCAUAUUUUAGUAUUUAAAUACAUUCAUUUCUAAACAAACCUAAGACAAUAAUUUUAGGACUGAGGAAGUAUUUG